CACACACACACACACACACACACACACACAUACACACCCACCCCGGAGUCCUUCCCACUCCUUCCCCUCACGCGCGCUUUCUAUCCACUUCCAAGCUCGGUUUUAUUCCUCCUUUUUUCUUUUACUCGCCACUCUUUGCCUGGGUCGCGUCCUCGUGUUCGGAGGCGCCGUCACCCCUCCCCUGCAUGGCGCCCCUGAGAAAACGCAGGCCAUGGAUUGUCCCCGCCUAAUGACAAACUGCUUGUCCUUUCCCGUCAGCGUUUUUUUUCUAUUCUUUUGCAGUAAUUUUUUUGUCAGAGCUUGACCUCUGUUGAGAAAACCCUCUUUUUAUUUUUCAAAAAAAGCAUUUAUGAAGCAGGAAAUGAGGGCUGAAGAAAAGGAAAAGAGUGUCAGAUGAAUGGACAGAGAAAGGGGGACAGAGGCAAAGAAUGAGAGAAUGGAGAGCGUGGUCUGCGAGAGAAAGAGAGAGAGAGAGAGAGAGGUGGGAGAAAGAGUGCCGGUGCUGGCAAGAAAAACAGGAGGGGGAAGAGCAGAGAAGGGGGACCAGUAGGGGAUAAACUUUGGAAGGAGGGACGGCCGGAUAGGAAUCGUCCAAAUCGCAGGGAAAAAGAGGGAAAAGAACAAAACUCUAGAAUGAGAAGAAGCUGGACUUCAUUUCUUUGCGGUCGUAUAUUUUUUUUUCUGGCUCCUUGACAUGAUUUUUCAUCACUUCUCCGAUCACCCUCUCAUUCCUCUGUUGAGGUUCUGAGAGAAGACGUUUUUUAUCAGGAAUGCCGUGGUCAACCAUAGAAGCUCCCCAGUGAGAGGAGAGCCAUGGGAAAACCUCAGACUAGAUCUUGGGCGUGAGGUAAAUGCUUUAGCAACAUCUGUUUCUUCCCUUUUAUAGCAACAAAGACUCUUUGAAUCUGCCUGAAAUGCAAGAGAGAGCAAACAGCUUGAGAGAUCACAGCUAAAGAUGGUGAGUGUCAGCUGCAAGUAUACAGAGAGACGCUUGAAUUUCCAUGUCGCUGAGCCUCUUUCUCUUCUCUGACAGUCUCUUCAUUGUCUCUGCCUGUCUCUCUAAUUUAUCUCUGAUCAUAAAACACAAGCUUCUUGCAUUUAGAUGCAACAUUGUGAUACUUCAGCCACUAUAGACAGACUAGUUCUUGACUGUUGUGCAAUGAUGUGCACCAACCGGAUGAAAGGAGACCAAAUCAGAAAGCCAUUAUGUAUUUAAUUUAACAAAAUCAUAAAUGGCUCUCUUGCCUGAUUAGCAGUGCUUUCUCCCAAUUCUUUCUUUCAUACACUUUCCCAUCUCCUACUCAUAUGUACAAGACAUCAUGCACACACACACACACACACACACACACACAUACUGGCCGACAAUACCCAAUAGCCAUUAACAACAGUGCCCUAGCAACCAUCGGGCAUCAUGCCAAGUGGCUGAGGUUGCCUGGUAGCGUGUUCCCAUGGCAACGUUUUCAGCCUUAGUAAAUAAGGUACGGGGAGAGCAAAAAAGAGGGGUUCAGGAGAAAUUGCACCACAGAAUCUCAUUCUAUCUUGAGAGAGCUAAUGAUUAAUAGUUUGUUUGUUGUGGGUACUCGUCCUAGUAUUUGUCAACUGACUGAAGAAGGCAUCGUGUCAACAGGGGCCUCAUCCCCUCGCUACACAUUGUCACAUCCAGUUUUUAGGGGUGCGGCGAGCAUGUAGUCUUUGUCUUCCUUCUCUUCCGGUGAAUCAUUAGAUAUAACUGGGAAGAAACAACCAGACUUAACUCACUCGAAGUUAAUUCAAUGUUAAAACAUGUUUUCUGUUCUCUAUUAAUGAAGAAAAAAAGAACCAAAAUGACCUUUUGCCUUCAGCGGUCCUUGGCCUGGCGUUUGAGAGGCGCCGUGUGAGGUUUGCAUUCCUGUUGAGUUGGCACUCGCCAGGCGUUUCAUCACUGUGGUUAACAGUUUAUUUGCUGUCACUGGGCAGAUUUCCCUCGUCUGUGCCCCUUCACUGUCUCUGCGUCUCUCCUCAAAGACAAUGAGUGGUGGAGAGUCACCUGAAGUCUUUGUUUUGCCUAAUCGGCACACACCGUAAAGAAAUAAUUAGCGCUUGCUUUCAGUAAUUAUCUGUCAUUAUUAUGUCUUUAGGUUUGUCAAUAUAUUUUGGUUCUUGUUUUUUGUGUAAAACACCAUGAGCUCUUUAGCAGUUGAUGGCAACUUCUGUCAGGCCAUUGUUGUUUAACAUAUUUUGUGUAAAAUCCGUCAUGCAUCCAUAUGUUUUACAUUUUCUUAGUGAAAACAAACGGAUUUCAAAAAUCUUUUUCAGAGUCUCUAUUUGCAGUAUCCGCAUAUAUAUUUCUAUAAUCACACACCUGUAUAAGCAUGUAUAAACUGGUUGUGAUUAGAAAAUGCCACUUUAAUCUCACUUGAUACAUGUAUUAUCAACAGGACAUUAUGAAAUGUCUCGUCCCGCUCGGCAUUCUGGCAUUAUCUGCGUCCUCAUGGGCCAAAUCUUGUGGUUUAUGAUAUAUAUAUAUAUAUAU